GGGGGUUACUACCGAUGCCAAGAUGGCGGACGAGUGUUUUCAGAACUGGUCGGUACAGAAGCUGAAGACUGAAUUGAGGAAACGGAGUGCUACUACCCAUGGCAGAAAAAGUGAUUUAGUUGAGAGAUUAAAGGCCUAUGAAAGAAAUAGGAACUUCAAACAAUCUGCUGUUUACCUGCCCGAUGCCAUUUGUGUGUUUGGCCAGUUGUUGGAUUUCAGCAAUUGAUACCAGAUCACAAGAUUAUCCUUCCCAAAUUGACUUGGCUGCAGAUAGAGGAGUACUUCUUGUACAGAUUGGCAGAUUACUGAAGAAGGUGCUCGGGAGUUGGAGACCCAAACCAAAUUCCAAGUGAAAAGUAAA